CCUACGGGUGGCAGCAGUGAGGAAUAUUGGUCAAUGGGCGUAAGCCUGAACCAGCCAAGUCGCGUGAGGGAUGAAGGUUCUAUGGAUCGUAAACCUCUUUUAUAAGGGAAUAAAGUGUGGGACGUGUCCUAUUUUGUAUGUACCUUAUGAAUAAGGAUCGGAAAACUCCGUGCCAGCAGCCGCGGUAAUACGGAGGAUCCGAGCGUUAUCCGGAUUUAUUGGGUUUAAAGGGUGCGUAGGGGGCCUAUUAAGACAGAGGGGAAAGUCUGGGUCUCAACCAUAAGAUUGCCGUUGAAACUGGGGAGCUUGAGUAUGUUUGAGGCAGGCGGAAUGCGUGGUGUAGCGGUGAAAUGCUUAGAUAUCACACAGAACCCCGAUUGCGAAGGCAGCCUGCCAGGCCAUGACUGACGCUGAUGCACGAAAGCGUAGGGAUCAAACAGGAUUAGAUACCCGAGUAGUC
rnacentral:rRNA from 1 species